AGGUUAAAGACUACAUGAGACUUUGACAGAUGGCGGGAAACCCUCAUCCACUGGUAAAGGAAUGUCUGCGACUAAGCCGAGGGCCACUGGAUAAGGGUUGUUGAAGGCAAAACAGGUAAAGGAAUGUCUGCGACUAAGCCGAGGGCCACUGGAUAAGGGUUGUUGAAGGCAAAACAGGUAAAGGAAUGUCUGCGACUAAGCCGAGGGCCACUGGAUAAGGGUUGUUGAAGGCAAAACAGGUUAAAGACUACAUGAGACUUUGACAGAUGGCGGGAAACCCUCAUCCACUGGUAAAGGAAUGUCUGCGACUAAGCCGAGGGCCACUGGAUAAGGGUUGUUGAAGGCAAAACAGGUAAAGGAAUGUCUGCGACUAAGCCGAGGGCCACUGGAUAAGGGUUGUUGAAGGCAAAACAGGUUAAAGACUACAUGAGACUUUGACAGAUGGCGGGAAACCCUCAUCCACUGGUACGAACCCGGUAAAUUGAUGGCUGUAAAACAGUGACCGCUGAUUCGCAUCGAGUUCUUUCUUGCAAAACGCAUGACCCCCCUUUUUUAUUGUCUAAAUCAUUGCGGCUCGGAAUGCUCUUUAAGAAAAGGUAAAGGAAUGUCUGCGACUAAGCCGAGGGCCACUGGAUAAGGGUUGUUGAAGGCAAAACAGGUAAAGGAAUGUCUGCGACUAAGCCGAGGGCCACUGGAUAAGGGUUGUUGAAGGCAAAACAGGUUAAAGACUACAUGAGACUUUGACAGAUGGCGGGAAACCCUCAUCCACUGCAUUUAAUAAAGCGUUCUGUCGAUAUUACAAAUCGUCUUCUGAUGUUCGCACUUCGUUCUGCGCAUUAUUGGAAUCACCGUUCUGUCUGAAAACCAGGUCGUUAUGACUGCUCUUAGCUUGGUUAUGUGCAAACUACACUCCGUUCUGUGGUUAAAUUGGCGGGAAAUAUGGAAUUAGUCGAGGAUUCCCGAUUGACCCGUCUAGUCUUAAAGCGCGCAGCAAUGGAGGCUGCACUUGAAGAAGUUGAGUCGAGGAUUCCCAAUUGACCCGUCUAGUCUUAAAGCGCGCAGCAAUGGAGGCUGCACUUGAAGAAGUUGAGUCGAGGAUUCCCAAUUGACCCGUCUAGUCUUAAAGCGCGCAGCAAUGGAGGCUGCACUUGAAGAAGUUGGCCUCGGGUAUUUGUGGCACAAUAUCAGGGCCAAUAAAAUAUCAUUAGAAGAAGCCAAAAAGUUGACUGAUGAAGAACUGUCCGCCUUAGGCGUCAAUACAAUAGGAGAUCGAGUUCGAUUAAAGGAAAAAUUAAAGGAAAGUGGCGAAGGUGGACGUAGGCAGCCAGUUACUCUUGGAAAGGUGCUGAAAUUUGUUAAUGGAACAGAAGAAGAGCCUGUGUUCGGAUUUUCGUUGAAGCCAUCCAUCCAAUUUUUCAGAAAACCAAUCAUUUUUGCCAUCCGCCAAUACAUGUAUCAACCGCUUAAAUUUGACCAUUCCCCCCGAGACUGCGGCUAUUCCAAAUGACACCGAGCUGUUCAAUCUGUAUGAUUAUGCCUUCUCAAAUGACUACUUGGACUGCAAUAAAUUUGAUCAAAUGUGUGAGACAGGGGAUAAGAACUACUUGAGAUAAUACAGCAACGGUGUAAAUCCAGACAACCAUAGUUUAUUCAGUAUAUGUUUUCACAUUUAAUUAUUUAAAGCAUGAGUGACUAUGCACUUCAACAAAUUGGCAUUUUUACAUUCAUUUUGUAUUUGCAGUGUAAGAUACUCUUCAGAAGAAUAACGAGAUAUGGUUCUCUGUUUCCAUGUUUUGUUUGUUCUCUUGUCAAUUAUUCAAGUUCCUAUUUGAUUAAUCUACAUAUGUCUAAUUGCAUAUUUGUUCAAUAGUAAUUCAGUGCAAUACGACGGUAAGUACUUAUUAAUUUAAAAGCACUUACCAUAAUAUUACACUGACCUGACUGUUGAGAGAUUUGCGUGU